CCUACGGGAGGCGCCGUGGGGAAUAUUGCACAAUGGGCGCACGCCUGAUGCAGCCAUGCCGCGUGUAUGAAGAAGGCCUUCGGGUUGUAAAGUACUUUCAGCAGUGAGGAAGGUGGAUGCGUUAAUAUCGUAUUCAUUUGACGUUAGCUGCCUAAGAAGCACCGGCUAACUCCGUGCCGGCUCCCGCGGUAAUA
rnacentral:rRNA from 1 species